CUCACUACCGAAACUCACCGAAGGAAACAGACGCCAGUGCUCCUCCCGGGGCUGCCACCACGGCUCCGGCAGGCGGGCCGGGGACCGGCCGAACCUGAGUUGACGGUGGAGGGGCUCGGGUUAGCUAGAUGGGCGGUUGGUUAGAUGCGUAAGCGGUAGUAUGCGAGCUCAGUUCGUUGUUGCUGGUUGGCUGUCUAGUCGGCCGAUCCGUCUGCUCACCCGGCCUGCCCUUUCCUGCCUUUCGUCUGCAGCGGCCGCCAGCUCCUGCUCGGUGUCCAAAACAAAAUGGCCGCCACGUCCAGUGCUUGUCUGACCGGCUAAAAUGGCGUCUACGCAAUUACGUCAGGCGUCAGAUCCGCGCACGACUAGAGGGCGGGAAAGAUUUGAGCUACGCCUGCGCAGAGUUGAGAAGCUGAUGUCUCCUCGACUUCCAACUGGAACCUUGAACCCCCACAUUUCUGGACCUUGAGCAUUCCUCAAGUAGGAAGAUGUAAUGCACCUUGACCUCUUUCUAAAUAAGACACUUCCCCAAAUAAGGGGAGUUGAGAGUGAACAGUCUUCACGUCUCCACCCACUUCCAGAUCCCAGAGGAGACAGACAUCGGAUGGCUGUUACCUCCUCCUAAAAUGUCUGCAUUUACCCAGAUAAUCUUCCAAUGGAAAUCCAUGGUUCAAGUGCCACCUCUUCAGGAAAGCCAUCUGACUUCAAUCAGAAUCGACCACGGAAAUUUGACACCUCCGGGCUUGGAAGCAGCUCUCUCCUCCUUCCCCGCUGCUUAUAAACCUCAGCCCUGAGGCUCCAGCUCACUCUACCCCAUCUC
rnacentral:lncRNA from 1 species